rnacentral:rRNA from 1 species
CGUAGGCAGCAAGCGUUGUUCGGAGUUACUGGGCGUAAAGGGUGUGUAGGCGGUUCUUUAAGUUUGGUGUGAAAUCUCCCGGCUCAACUGGGAGGGUGCGCCAAAUACUGAGGGACUAGAGUACGGGAGAGGAAAGUGGAAUUCCUGGUGUAGCGGUGAAAUGCGUAGAUAUCAGGAGGAACACCGGUGGUGUAGACGGCUUUCUGGACCGUAACUGACGCUGAGACACGAAAGCGUGGGUAGCAAACAGGAUUAGAUACCCUGGUAGUCCACGCCCUAAACGAUGCAUAUUUGGUGUGGGCAGUUCAUUCUGUCCGUGCCGGAGCUAACGCGUUAAAUAUGCCGCCUGGGGAGUACAGUCGCAAGGCUG